rnacentral:rRNA from 1 species
GAUGAACGCUAGCGGCAGGCUUAAUACAUGCAAGUCGUGGGGCAGCAUGAAGUAGCAAUACUUUGAUGGCGACCGGCAAACGGGUGCGGAACACGUACACAACCUUCCUAUAAGUGGGGAAUAGCCCAGAGAAAUUUGGAUUAAUACCCAGUAACAUAAUGAUAUGGCAUCAUAUUAUUAUUAUAGCUUCGGCGCUUAUUGAUGGGUGUGCGGUUGAUUAGAUAGUUGGCGGGGUAACGGCCCACCAAGUCUACGAUCAGUAGCUGAUGUGUGAGCAUGAUCAGCCACACGGGCACUGAGACACGGGCCCGACUCCUACGGGAGGCAGCAGUAAGGAAUAUUGGUCAAUGGACGCAAGUCUGAACCAGCCAUGCCGCGUGAAGGAUUAAGGUCCUCUGGAUUGUAAACUUCUUUUAUCUGGGACGAAAAAAGGCUUUUCUAAGUCACUUGACGGUACCAGAUGAAUAAGCACCGGCUAACUCCGUGCCAGCCGCCGCAGUAAAAC